GUUAGGAAUAUUGGACAAUGGGCGAAAGCCUGAUCCAGCCAUGCCGCGUGAACGAUGAAGGCCUUCGGGUUGUAAAGUUCUUUAGCCGAUGAUUAUAAUGACUGUAGUCGGAAAAUAAGCCCCGACUAACUUCGUGCCAGCAGCCGCGGUAAUACGAAGGGGGCGAGCGUUAUUCGGAAUCACUGGGCGUAAAGCGUGCGUAGGCGGUUUUGUAAGUUAUGAUUGAAAGCCUAGGGCUCAACCGUGGAAUUGCUCUUAAAACUGGAAAGCUAGAAUCACGGAGAGGAUAGCGGAAUUUCCAGUGAAGCAGUGAAAAGCGUAGAUAUUGGAAGGAACACCAGUGGCGUAAGCGGCUAUCUGGACGAGUAUUGACGCUGAGGCACGAAAGCGUGGGGAUCAAACAGGAUUAGAAACCCCUGUAGUCC
rnacentral:rRNA from 1 species